AUCUGCCCACCUUGGCCUCCCAAAGUGCUGGGAUUACAGGCGUGAGCCACCGCGCCUGGCCAUAUAUUGCUUGUUUAGCUUUAUUUGUUCACUUGUCUGUUGUCUGUGGCCCCACACUCAAAUGUAAGCUCCAUAAGAGCAGGAACUUUGUCUUGCCACCUCUGUAUUCCCAGCAUUUACAAUAGUGUCUGGAAGGUAGUAGGUGCUCAAUACAUAUAUAUUGUUUGAUAAAUGUGGCAAGUUAAAGAUGGUCAUAAAUUCUUUGCUAAUUCUCUCAUUUGAAACAUGGGUCUAAUUCUCCUCCCUUUGAAUUCAGGCUUGCCUUAAUAAUGACUUGCAUCACCAAUAGAACAUGGCAGAAGUGAUGUUCUGGAACUUCUGAAGCCAAAUCGCAAGAAGCAUUGCGGGUUCCAUUGGGGUUUCUUAAAAUUCUUACUCUAGGAAUGCUCUCUCUUAGAACCUGGCCGCCUUGCUUUGAACAGUCUGAGGCACAUGAAGAGGCCACAUGUAGAGACGUCAGUCAGCAGCUCCAGUGGAGCUCCCAGGUGACAGUCAGCAUCAACUGCUAGUCACAAUAGUGAGCCAGUUAGGACAUCCAGCCCAGAAGAGAAUUCAGAUGACCACAGCACCAGCCAACAUUUGAUUACAACUAUGUGAGAAGCUCCAUGUGGGAACUACCCAGCUGAGCUCAGUCAAUCCAAAGAAUCAUGAGAGAGGUCUCCCUGGACACUGCAGAAAUUGGAUUAUAAGGAGCAAAAUGGAGGCAGCAAGACCCGUUGGGAGGCCAUUGGUGUGGCUCCAGAGAGAGGUCCUGCUCAUCAUUGACUGAAGGGUAGACCUGGGGGCAUCAACUCUCCAGCAUCUGUUGACCCCUCAUGCUGGCCCUCGAAGAAAGCCUGCCAGUGGAGCAUUGCAGGUUUUUUCAGGAGGAACCUGCUGGUGAGUGCCAAGGGGACAUGGAGGGGGCCUUGAUAGUUUCUGUUAUUGCUGAUCCCCAUAUCAUGCUUUUACUUCUGCUAAUUCUUUACAGCAAGUCUCAAAGCUAUUAGA